AGUGAGUAAACAAUGCGAAGCUACCCAUAAUUGACGGUUACUCCGAUUAUACUAAAAGAGGGUUAUGGAGGCGCGUGUUGAGGAUUAGGUAUGUUGGUGGGAUAAUAGCUUACCAAACCGAAGAUCCUUAGUCAUCCUGAGAGGGAGAAUGGCCACGCCGGAACUGAAACAAGGUCCGGGCUUAUUUAAGCCAGCAGUAGGGAAUAUUGGACAAUGAGCGAAAGCUUGAUCCAGCAAGAUUGCGUGAGGGAAGAAGGUCAUUUGACUGUAAACCUCUUUCACCGAGGAAGAAUUAAGACGGUACUCGGAAAAGAAGCUCCAGCCAAUCUCGUGCCAGCAGCUGCGGUAAUACGGGAGGAGCGAGGGUUAUUCAUGAUGAUUGGGUGUAAAGCAGGAUAAGGUGAUAAGUACAAGUUUCAAGUCGACCAAAAGCUUAACUUAAGGGAGGAUUUGAAAAACUAACUUAAUAGAGGAAUUACAGAGUUGAAAGCGGAACUAUUGGGGUAGAGGUGUAAUUCGUUUCAUCUCAAUGGGAACACCGAAAGCGAAAAGCAGCCAACUAAUAAUUACCUGCCACUAGACCUGGAAUCUGAGGUAGCAAACCGGAUUAGAUACCCGGGUAGUCUCAGACGUAAACGAUGGACGCUCGUGAGAGAUAAAUGCUCUCACUCAGCUAACGCGUAAGCGUCCCACCUAGUGAGUACACCCGCAAGGGUGAAAACUAAAUAGAAUAGGCGGCUUUACAAACGACCAGAGGAGCAUGCAACUUAAUUUGAUAUUACGCGACAAACCUUACCUAGGCUUGUAUUUUCAUUGAUAUGAGGAUAAAAAAUCCCGUUAAACUUGAUACUAUUACGAUAGUCUCUAUAUGUGAAAACACGUUUUGCAUGAUCGUAUUCAGCUCGAUGUUGUGAAAUGUUAGGUUAAGUCCUUUAACGAGCGCAACCCAUGUCUUUAGUUGGAGAAAAUAACUUAGAUGAGUUAAUUUUUUAUCGUAUAGCUAUAGCUAUUCAACAACCUCUCUAAAGAAACUGCCGUGGAAAAAGCGGAGGAAGGAAUGGAUGACUACAGAUCACCAUGAACGUUAUGCUUAGGGCUGUAAGCGUGCUACAAUCGGAUUGACAAAGGGAAGCAAAGAGGUAACUCAGCGCGAAUCCUUAAACAAUCUCGUCAAUUAGGAUCGAAGACUGCAACUCGUCUUCGUGAAUCCGGAUUUGGAAGUAAUCGUGGAGGAGAGCGCCACGGUGAAUAGGAAAAUGUAAAGUGUACUUCUUGCCCAGCACGCCUCAAGAGUGGAUUCAAUUAAAGGUUAAAAUUUCAUUCAGUUCGCAGUACUACAGGUGCUGUACAUUGA
rnacentral:rRNA from 1 species